rnacentral:antisense_RNA from 1 species
GUGCCGCGGCUGAGGGCUGUCGGGCCGCGGGCUCAGGCUCAAGUCCAGGCCGGGCUCGGGCACUGGGGCUCGGAGUUCCGGGACUUGGGGCUCCGGGGGUGGCCCCGGGACCGCCGCGGCUUCUUCCCCGUCCGCCGACUCCAGCUCUGACUCCCCACAACCCAUCAUCUUUGGAAGAAGUGCUGUGGAACAUCAGAUAGAAUGGAUAGCAUAGCCCAAAUUUUACAAAAAGGAUUUUAAAGGAAGAUCUCAAUGGUUAAACACUACAGGCUUUCCUGCUAAAGUUAAGAACAAGAAAGU